GGGGGAAUUGUUCGCAAUGGGCGAAAGCCUGACGGAGUGACGCCGCGUGGGGGACGAAGGCCUUCGGGUCGUGAACCCCUGUCAGAGGGAAAGAAGGGUCGCCGACCUAAUACGUCGGUGAUCUGACGGUACCUUCAGAGGAAGCCCCGGCCAACUCUGUGCCAGCAGCCGCGGUAAGACAGAGGGGGCAAGCGUUGCUCGGAAUCACUGGGCGUAAAGGGCGCGUAGGCGGGAUGGCAAGUCGGUCGUGAAAUCCUUCGGCCCAACCGAAGAACGUCGGCCGAUACUGCCGUUCUUGAGGGAUGCAGAGGAGACUGGAAUUCCCGGUGUAGCGGUGAAAUGUGUAGAGAUCGGGAGGAACACCGGUGGCGAAGGCGGGUCUCUGGGCAUUUCCUGACGCUGAGGCGCGAAAGCGUGGGGAGCAAAC
rnacentral:rRNA from 1 species